rnacentral:lncRNA from 1 species
ACUUCCUCAAUUUGCACUCCACCUUACUUAGCAUACAGUGUUGGGUCUGUAAUUCCCUUAUCUGACUCUCAAGGAAAUGAAAAAGUAAUGCCUAGAUUGGACUAAACCUCGUUUAACUUCAAGACUGAACUUUCUCAAAGUUGAACCUUCGUCUUGUGAGGAACAGAAAGAUGAAGAACUCUGAAGCACCUCGACUUUCCACCUGUGAAGAUGUGUUCAAAUUUGCAACGUGUGGCCACAUCUAUGAGGUUGCUCCCUCUGGAGGAAACCAGAUGCCACUUUGUGAGGAUACUCAUAGUCCUGUGGAGGCAUAUCCUCCAUAUGGCUGAGACCGCCUGCCAACAACCAUCACUGACUUGCCAGGCAUGAGUGUGCCACCUUGGAAGCAGAUUUUCCAGCCCCAGUCAAGCCUUCAGAUGACAUCAGCCCCUGCUAAUCUCUUGACUACAACCUCAUGAGAGACCCUGAGCCAGAACUAGCCAGGUAACCCCUCAUGGUUACAAAGUGGCUGCAACAGCUCCAGGUGUUCUAUCCUUUAACACAGAAUAACUC